AUAAAACCCAAUGCUCAAAAUAUCAACUGUGAAGAUCAAAUGACGGCUUUACCUCACUUUCAAAUCCGAAGAUCAAUGGAUGUCAAGCUGAUGGAGAGGGACAAUGGUUGCACGUUGAUGAUGGCAGUGAGGGAAUGGAGAAAUGGGAUGGGAAUAGAAAUUUGUGAGUCGCGGCAUGGGCGGGCAAAGAAGGCAUGGGUAUGGUGGAAGGGGCAGCAACAUGUGCUGGAUGUGAGAGGUGGGCACGCAGGAAGAAAAUGGAGAUGAAAGAAAGGGAAGGAAAGAGAGGGACGAAUGGGAGAGAGGAAAGGAAACGAAAGCAGAGGGACGGCGAACAGUGCCACGAACCGGUUGAUACCGGAAAGGGAGGAGGAGCCAGAGAAGCAGCCGCUUUUGGUGCGGCAGCAGCCACCGGAGCAGGGGCAGCAACACGCGGAUGAAACCACAUUGACGUCAGUGCUCUUGUUUUCUCUUCUUGAUCCUCUUCUUUUUUUCUCUCUAGAAAUCUUGCUCUCCGAGCUUUUGUUUUUUUUCUUUUUUUUUUCCUUUUAUCUGGUCUCUCCCCUGCUGAAAAACCUUCCCCCUCCGGAACUGAAAAUCCCUGUCCCACUUCUGUUAGAUGCUAUGUACUCACAUACAUUAAUAAUUGUUUAUGAUUAACCCAACUAUACAUAUUUAAUUUAUAUUUAUUAAGUAUGGGUCACAAGUGUGUAGAGCAUAAGUUAUAUGUGUCUUAUGUGAUGGACGAAAGACAAAUAUGGCCAAGAGCCCGAUGGGUAUGGUCCUAAUGCAUUGAAGAAAUUAAUAAAAAGGAAAAUGUCUUUUUAAGUUUUCUUUCUUGAAAAUACGAAAUGUUCCCUCUCUUGUCUCCAAUCGCAAGGUGGUUUCCUCCUCGCCUUACAAGAACCAUACUUUUUCAAGACCGUGAAUGGAUUCAGGUUUGUCUACAUUUUCUAAUCUAAUCUAAUCUAAUCGGCAUGUUAUAUUUAUAUGAUUUAACAUGAAAUUUCUGGUUUUGGGUUGACAAUGAAGUUUACAACUUCUGUUUUUCUCUCCGGAUAUCACCCCCUCCCCUGCCCUCUUUCUCUCCCCCAGCUUUUCAACUCCAAUCUGCCUCUCUGUCCAUCCUAUGCUUAGCUCACUAUGCCAGCCAUCAUCCUCUAUUCAGAGACGUCCCUCUCUCAACCACCCCCGUGGCAAGAUGGAAGUCCUUUGCCACACGUCCCAGCAUGCGUGGCUCCACCGGAAACCGGCCCCCACUCCUAAAACAAGCUGCCAGCUCUUCCCGGGGUGGUAAAAAUAUGCUCCAAAAAAAAACUUAGACAAAAAAUGAGGGUCUACAACUCACUUUGAAUUUGGGAAUUGCCUUGGGUUAUAAAAAUUGUUUCUGCUGACUGCAUGUUCUACUAUGUUUAUUCGCUGCAAUACUUCUGUUCUCAUCAUUCAAGGUGCCAUUUCUCUUCUAAACUGAUAUAGCAAUUCUUGAUGCAAUAUCUAUUUUAAUUUUCUUUCCACUGUGGAUUUAAGCAAGUUAUUAGCAAUCUUAUCCAGUGGAUAUAUUUUUGCAGGUAGAUCACAGCCCUAACAUAUUUUCUGCUUCUAUAUGUAUUCUGCUGUGUGGAUUUCUGCAAGUAAGUUAUACGAUUCCUAUUUUUCUCUUGUUUUAUAAACAGUUAUUUGCUGCUGAUGAAGAUGAGACAGACCUAUACAACAACUUUGUAGUGAAGACAUGCCAGAAAUUCAUUCCUGUGACUGCUAGUUAUGAUGGCAAUCUAUUCGUAACAAUUCAAGAUGGUGUCUGGAAAGUAAGUCAUUGAUGGGGUUGUGUUGACUUAUCAACAUCUUACUCUACGCCCUAUAAAAUGGGUUAGAAUUUUUCUGCAGAUCAGGAAAUCGAACUAUCAAGUCUUGGUGCUGGGGUACUGUUGAGUCUAAUGAAGAAAUCUGAGUAGCCAAAGGAGCUGGGACAGUCGAUUGAUUUCUUUUAAAAUUUACAACAGGCAGUCACAUUGUUGCUCUCUUUGUCUGUUCCAGUCUAAUUUACAAUCAGCCACAACUGUGAAACUGAUAUUUAUCUGGCUUUGAUGGUAAUAAUAGAUUUCAUUGAAAACUA